rnacentral:rRNA from 1 species
AUACGUAGGGAGCGAGCGUUGUCCGGAAUUACUGGGUGUAAAGGGUGCGUAGGCGGGACUGCAAGUCAGAUGUGAAAUGCCGGGGCUCAACCCCGGAGCUGCAUUUGAAACUGUGGUUCUUGAGUGAGGUAGAGGUAAGCGGAAUUCCUAGUGUAGCGGUGAAAUGCGUAGAUAUUAGGAGGAACAUCGGUGGCGAAAGCGGCUUACUGGGCCUAUACUGACGCUGAGGCACGAAAGCGUGGGGAGCAAACAGGAUUAGGGACCCUGGUAGUCCACGCUGUAAACGAUGAUGACUAGGUGUGGGGGGACUGAACCCUUGCGUGCCGCAGUUAACACAAUAAGUCAUCCACCUGGGGAGUACGGCCGCAAGGUUGAAACUCAAAUGAAUUGACGGGG